rnacentral:lncRNA from 1 species
UAGCAGCAUGCAGCGGUGAGCUCGCCGGCCGGCCGGCGCCGCCUCCAAGACCAAGACAAGGUUAAUCCAUGGCCACGUAGUACCUCUACCCUUCUACAACUCCUGUUCGCCCGGCUAUUCAUGUCCCCUACCGCCCUUCACCACGACGUACGUAGUACCGCCCGCCCGCCCGCCCGCCCGCCAAGAUUAGUUGUUUUUAAUUAAUUAGAGAAGAAGAAGAAGAAGAUGUUAAUUAAUUAAUUAGUUCCUCGAUCGACCCUCCUUCAGUCAGUCUCCUGUAUGUUAAUGCUGCUAGUAGUGGUGAGCUGUGCUCCUCCUUGUAAUCGUGCUCUUGAAUUUCACCCCCUGUUCGUCUCUUCAUCUUUUUUUAGCUUCGUUUUCCGGAUCGAAUGGGAGGUGGAAUCGUCGACAGUUGGGCACAGUGCGGGCGGGCGGGCGGGUCGACAUGGCCGCCGUGGUUAAUGAAUGUUUGGCAUCUGUGGCGCAGCCGCAUCUGCCUAUCAAUCUAUCUUGGAUUUGGUGCUCUUUUGCCUUUGAUUAUUAUUAUAGUAUUAUUAGCAGUGUAGUUUUUUAUGGGCUCGAGUGAAGGCCCUCCUACCUUUCAUCAUCAUCAAUCCAGCUAGUAAUAGUACUAGUCAGAACCUCAACGCACGUACUACCUCUCUUUCGGUUUACAGGGUGUGUGCGUACCCUUAGGUCGUUAAUUUAACCAACUUAAUAAAAAUCAUAUAUUAUAAAAAAUAUAUUAAUAUAAACUUCAGAUGCUUUAUUUUCAAACCGUAUAAUUUUUGUGUUAUAUAGUUUAUAUUAAGAUGAUAAAAUUGACAACCUAGAUAUACGCGUAGGACUUAUAAACUGAAACGGAGGUAGUAGUACCAGUGUGAUGCUGUAGUGGCGAACUGACCAAGGAUGGAAACUUUGUAAUGUCCAUCGGGUCGAACGUGUCGGAUCUGGCACGGAGAUAUCAGCCGUUUCGACGAG